rnacentral:lncRNA from 1 species
UGGUUAUUUGUUUGGAUAGUGUCCUGCUAUAUUAUGCAAGUGUUGUAAUGUUUCCUUAGCAUGAGUUCAACAAUAAAAGAACAUAGGCAUCACAAUAAUAACGGAAAAAUAAAUUGACUUUACUCAAUUUAAAAUCACAACUAAAGAGCCCCAAUUUGUUAAGAAUAGAGAAUAGAACAAUUCUAAGGAAUUGAUAUGAGUUGCACUAGACCUCAC